rnacentral:lncRNA from 1 species
AAAAACACAAAAAUAAUUUUAUCUUGUAAAGGGAGAUACCCCGAAUAUUUAGUUCUGUUCAACAAAAUGUUACCAACAAAAAAUCUGUAAGAAUGAAAAGUUUAACCAAAAGAAUAAAAUUUUUCUAAAUAUGACGAUCUUUGCACAUAUGUGAAUUAAAAGGAAACAGCAAUUGUGGAUAACAAAACAUGAACAAAUGCAACCUUAAAUCAUAACGAUAAAAUUGGAACAAUCAAUUCAAAAUAGUUAAAAAUAGGAUAACAAAACUAGCCAGGAUAACUAAACCCCUAAAACCCUAAACCCUAUACACAUGUUGAUAAUAAAAAAAAAA